UAUUGCACAAUGGGGGAAACCCUGAUGCAGCGACGCCGCGUGAAGGAAGAAGUAUCUCGGCAUGUAAACGUCUAUCAGCAGGGAAGAAAAUGACGGUACCUGACUAAGAAGCCCCGGCUAACUACUUGCAGGCAGCCGCGGUAAUACGUAGGGGGCAAGCGUUAUCCGGAUUUACUGGGUGUAAAGGGAGCGGAGACGGAAGAGCAAGUCUGAUGUGAAAGGCUGGGGCUUAACCCCAGGACUGCAUUGGAAACUGUUGUUCUAGAGUGCCGGAGAGGUAAGCGGAAUUCCUAGUGUGGCGGUGAAAUGCGUAGAUAUUAGGAGGAACACCAGUGGCGAAGGCGGCUUACUGGACGGUAACUGACGUUGAGGCUCGAAAGCGUGGGGAGCAAA
rnacentral:rRNA from 1 species